GUCUCUGUAUUCAGUGUUGGGGUGAGUGUGGCACAGUUGAAGGAGAAAGUGUGACAGGGCGAGGGGAGGUGAGAGUGACAGGAUGAGGGAGGGUUAUGUGACAGGGUGAGUGUGGCAUGGCUUGGCAGGAUGAGUGACAGGAUAGAAGUUAAUGUGAUAGGGUGAAGGGGGAUGAGUUUGACAGGAUUGGGGUUAUGUGUUACACGGCUGGAGGAGGAAGUGUGACAAGGCGAGGGAAAGUGAGUCGGACAGGAUUAUGUGACAGGGUGAGUGUGGCAUGGUUGGGCACAAGUGAAAG